UACGUAGGGGGCGAGCGUUGUCCGGAGUUACUGGGCGUAAAGCGCUUGUAGGCGGUCCACCAAGUUUGGGGUGGACAGUUGUCGACUUAAUCGGCAAAGUGCCUCAAAAGACUCGGCGGACUUGGAGGGCCACAGGAGGGACAUGGAACGUCCAGGUGUAGUCGGUGAAAUGCGUAGAUAUCUGGAAGAACACCAAAGGCGAAGGCAAGUGUCCUGGGUGGUCGGCUGACGCUGAGAGGCGAAAGCCAGGGGAGCGGA
rnacentral:rRNA from 1 species